rnacentral:rRNA from 1 species
GACGAACGCUGGCGGCGUGCUUUACACAUGCAAGUCGAACGAUGAUGACCAGCUUGCUGGUUUGAUUAGUGGCGAACGGGUGAGUAACACGUGAGUAACCUGCCCCAGACUCUGGGAUAACUCCGGGAAACCGGGGCUAAUACUGGAUAUCCAUCUCCUGCUGCAUGGUGGGGGUUGUAAAGGGUUUCUGGUCUGGGAUGGGCUCGCGGCCUAUCAGCUUGUUGGUGGGGUGAUGGCCUACCAAGGCUUUGACGGGUAGCCGGCCUGAGAGGGUGACCGGCCACACUGGGACUGAGACACGGCCCAGACUCCUACGGGAGGCAGCAGUGGGGAAUAUUGCACAAUGGGCGAAAGCCUGAUGCAGCGACGCCGCGUGAGGGAUGACGGCCUUCGGGUUGUAAACCUCUUUCAGCAGGGAAGAAGCUCUCGGGUGACGGUACCUGCAGAAGAAGCGCCGGCUAACUACGUGCCAGCAGCCGCGGUAAUACGUAGGGCGCAAGCGUUGUCCGGAAUUAUUGGGCGUAAAGAGCUCGUAGGCGGUUUGUCGCGUCUGCUGUGAAAUCCUCAGGCUCAACCUGGGGCGUGCAGUGGGUACGGGCAGACUAGAGUGCGGUAGGGGAGACUGGAAUUCCUGGUGUAGCGGUGGAAUGCGCAGAUAUCAGGAGGAACACCGGUGGCGAAGGCGGGUCUCUGGGCCGUAACUGACGCUGAGGAGCGAAAGCAUGGGGAGCGAACAGGAUUAGAUACCCUGGUAGUCCAUGCCGUAAACGUUGGGCACUAGGUGUGGGGUCCAUUCCACGGGUUCCGCGCCGUAGCAAACGCAUUAAGUGCCCCGCCUGGGGAGUACGGCCGCAAGGCUAAAACUCAAAGGAAUUGACGGGGGCCCGCACAAGCGGCGGAGCAUGCGGAUUAAUUCGAUGCAACGCGAAGAACCUUACCAAGGCUUGACAUGCACGGGAAGCCACCAGAGAUGGUGGUCUCUUUGGACACUCGUGCACAGGUGGUGCAUGGUUGUCGUCAGCUCGUGUCGUGAGAUGUUGGGUUAAGUCCCGCAACGAGCGCAACCCUCGUCCUAUGUUGCCAGCACGUGAUGGUGGGGACUCAUAGGAGACUGCCGGGGUCAACUCGGAGGAAGGUGGGGAUGACGUCAAAUCAUCAUGCCCCUUAUGUCUUGGGCUUCACGCAUGCUACAAUGGCCGGUACAAAGGGUUGCGAUACUGUGAGGUGGAGCGAAUCCCAUAAAGCCGGUCUCAGUUCGGAUUGGGGUCUGCAACUCGACCCCAUGAAGUCGGAGUCGCUAGUAAUCGCAGAUCAGCAUUGCUGCGGUGAAUACGUUCUCGGGCCU